CACAUUUAUAUUUUCAACAUAAAAAUAAGGAGAUGUGAUAUGAUUGUCAAAGUUAAAAAAUAAAUGGAUUUAAGCAAUUAUAGUCGGCUAUAAAAGGUCCAGAAAAGAAAAAUAAGAAUCAAUACCUUUCGAAUUUAACUGACGGCCUAAUUCAUAAUAAAACAAUUUACGAAAAACAUAUAUGACAGACACGAACCAACGACAACCACUGAACUACGAGCUCUUGACUUAAAACAGGUACAUAAAGAAUUUGGCAAGGGUAAAAAUGUUUGUGUGCGCUCAUUUCUCCCCAAAACUAUCACAGCACAAGACCAAACUAUAAAAAUCAGAUGAAUAAUAGGAUCAUCAUACUAUCAUUGACGAUAUCAGACCAGGUGCGGAUCCCGCCUUUCUACAAAGGGGGAUCCAAACCACGGAACACCAUAAAAAUCGAAAAAAAAAUAGGCUUCAACCACCAAAAACUCCCUCUCCCCGCAUACCAGAUCCGCUAAUGCAGGCUGCAGCCAUUCAAAUAAAACGUUCAAAAAUCAUUAACACUUUUGAGUGUGUAAUUUAGGUUAAAACAAAAAUAAAUAACAAUACCAAAAAUCGUAA
rnacentral:lncRNA from 1 species